UACGAGGGGUGCGAGCGUUGCUCGGAAUUAUUGGGCGUAAAGGGUAGGUAGGUGGUCUGAUUUGUCUGGGGUGAAAGCCUUGAGCUUAACUCAAGAAGUGCCCCAGAAACGGUCAGACUCGAGUCCUGGAGAGGGUCGUGGAAUUCCCGGUGUAGCGGUGAAAUGCGUAGAGAUCGGGAGGAACACCAGUGGCGAAGGCGGCGACCUGGACAGGUACUGACACUCAACUACGAAAACGUGGGGAGCAAACAGG
rnacentral:rRNA from 1 species